rnacentral:rRNA from 1 species
AUUUUUGGACAAUGGGCGCAAGCCUGAUCCAGCCAUGCCGCGUGAGUGAAGAAGGCCUCCGGGUUGUAAAGCUCUUCCGGACGGAAAGAAAUCGCGCAGGCUAAUACCCUGCGCGGCUGACGCUACCGUCAUAAGAAGCUCCGGCUACCUAUGUGCCAGCAGCCGCGGUAAUACGUAAGGUGCUAGCGUUUAUCGGAAUUACUGGGCGUACAGCGUGCGCAGGCGGUUGAUUAAGACAGGCGUGAAAACCCCGGGCUUAACCUGGGAACUGCGCUUGUGACUGGUCAGCUAGAGUACGGCAGAGGGGGGUGGAAUUCCACGUGUAGCAGUGAAAUGCGUAGAGAUGUGGAGGAACACCGAUGGCGAAGGCAGCCCCCUGUGCCGAUACUGACGCUCAUGCACGAAAGCGUGGGUAGCAAACAGG